rnacentral:rRNA from 1 species
UACGGGGGGAGCAAGCGUUGUUCGGAUUUACUGGGCGUAAAGGGCGGGUAGGCGGCCACCGCAAGUCAGUUGUGAAAUCUCUGGGCUUAACCCAGAAAGGUCAACUGAUACUGCGGGGCUAGAGUGCAGAAGGGGCAACUGGAAUUCUCGGUGUAGCGGUGAAAUGCGUAGAUAAUCGAGAGGAACACCUGCGGCGAAGGCGGGUUGCUGGGCUGACACUGACGCUGGAACUGCGAAAGCUAGGGGAGCGAACGGG